rnacentral:rRNA from 1 species
CAAAAUGUAGCUUAACUAAAGCAUUUAGCCUACACCUAAAAGAUUUCAGCUAACCCUGACCAUUUUGAGCCAGACCUAGUCCUAAUUUUUAUAAAUUAAACUAUUUAAUCUAAAUUCAAAACAUUAACCUCGUCUUAGUAUAGGCGAUAGAACAGACAUCUACAGGCACGAUAACGAAAGUACCGCGAGGGAAAUUUGAAAGAACCUCAAAAACCUACAAGCAUAAAAAAGCAAAGAUUCAACCUUGUACCUUUUGCAUAAUGAUUUAGCUAGUCAAAUCGGACAAAAAGAAUUAAAGCCCGACUUCCCGAAAUUAAGUGAGCUAUUGUAGAACAGUUGAAAGAACGAACUCGUCUAUGUGGCAAAAUAGUGAGAUGAUUUUACAAUAGGGGUGAAAAGCCUAUCCGAACUUAAUGAUAGCUGGUUGUCCAAAAAACGAAUUUUAGUUCAACUUUAAAUUUAAUUCAAGUACCACAAAACCCACCUUAAAUUUAAAUGAUAGUCAAAAGAGGGACAUCUCUUUUGAUAUGUGAACAAACUUCAUUAGAGGGUAAUGAAAACUUCAUAAAGACAUUGUAGGCCUAAAAGCAGCCAUCAAUUAAGAAAGCGUUAAAGCUCAAACCAACCAAGUACUUAAUACCAAAAAUACAUCAAAACCCCUACAUCAAUAUUGGACAAUUCUAUAAUUAUAUAGAAGAUAUAAUGCUAAUAUUAGUAACAUGAAUUAAUUCUCCUUGCACAAGCAUAAUUUAAGCCUGGAACAACCACUACAACUUAACCAAACAAAUAGCCGCAUCCACACACUAGUCUUCUAUAGCCACUAUUGUUAGCCCAACUCAGGCGUGCAUCUAAGGAAAGAUUAAAAGGAAUAAAAGGAACUCGGCAAACAUGAGCCCCGCCUGUUUACCAAAAACAUCACCUCUAGCAUUGACCAGUAUUAGAGGCACUGCCUGCCCGGUGAGUAAUACUUUAACGGCCGCGGUAUCCUGACCGUGCAAAGGUAGCAUAAUCACUUGUCCUUUAAAUAGGGACUAGUAUGAAUGGCAUCACGAGGGUUUAACUGUCUCUUAUUCCCAAUCAGUGAAAUUGACCUUCCCGUGCAGAGGCGGGAAUACUAAUACAAGACGAGAAGACCCUGUGGAGCUUAAGUCACAUAACUCAGCACAUACUACCACCUGAACCUACCGGAAUAAAAAAUGUAUAAAGCCAUGAGUUAUUGUCUUUGGUUGGGGUGACCUCGGAGCAUAAAAAAACCUCCGAAUGAAAUAACCUAGAUUAACCAAUCUAAGUGUAAAACUACCAGUAAUUGACCCAUCUUUUGAUCAACGGAACAAGUUACCCCAGGGAUAACAGCGCAAUCCUAUUUGAGAGCCCAUAUCGAAAAUUAGGGUUUACGACCUCGAUGUUGGAUCAGGACAUCCAAAUGGUGCAACCGCUAUUAAUGGUUCGUUUGUUCAACGAUUAAAGUCCUACGUGAUCUGAGUUCAGACCGGAGAAAUCCAGGUCGGUUUCUAUCUGUAAGUAAUUUCUCCCAGUACGAAAGGACAAGAGAAAUGGGGCCAACAUUCCUAAUGAGCCCUAAAGCUAACAUAUGAAUCCAUCUCAAUAUGCUAACUUAACCUUUCUUUUACCCCCCAAGAACAGGGGCGUUAAGA